rnacentral:lncRNA from 1 species
AUUGCGCGGUAGGCCUCGGACGUACGCUACGGCCGAGGAUGCUCGCCAAGCGAGAAACGUGGUGCGACGUGCGAAGCGGUGGGAGCAAGGCGUUCGACCGCGACGUCUGCUGCUUCGUCCU